rnacentral:misc_RNA from 1 species
GAUGAAGAACGUAGCGAAAUGCGAUAAGUAAUGUGAAUUGCAGAAUUCCGUGAAUCAUCGAAUCUUUGAACGCACAUUGCGCCCGCCAGUAUUCUGGCGGGCAUGCCUGUUCGAGCGUCAUUUCAACCAUCAAGCCCCCGGCUUGUGUUGGGGACCUGCGGCUGCCGCAGGCCCUGAAAACCAGUGGCGGGCUCGCUAGUCACUCCGAGCGUAGUAAUACAUCUCGCUCAGGGCGUGCUGCGGGUUCCGGCCGUUAAAAAGCCUUAUUUACCCAAGGUUGACCUCGGAUCAGGUAGGAAGACCCGCUGAACUUAAGCAUAUCAAUAAGCGGAGGA